UCGUUACAUGCGCAGGAGUGCGGUCGCGCUGCUGCCGAAAAACGCGAAAACAAAAAAACAAACCGGAAAAUCGUGACUCGAAAAUCAAGCAACAUAUAGAUACAAUAAUGUGAAUAGCUAAUAUAACGUCAAAUGUAUAUUAUUGGGAUGAAAAAAACGUGAAUCUUAACAGAAAAUUAACUACAAAAAGUGUACUUCAAAAAAUAAGUGCUUUUUGGUCAAGAAAAUUAGAGGAUACUUGAAAUGAGCAUUGAUUGCGGUCAACGUUAACACAAAUGUGGACGUACUCAAGCGUGGACAUACCCGGUGCAAGAAUCACUAGAGCGGACAGGUUCAGGAUUUACGUGUCCGAAUGUGUCGUGUGCUUUUGCAUAUUAUUUUUUAUUAUCUGUGUCGGUUUAUUACUUUAUUUAUUCUUCCAUUUAUACAGCACGGUAACUACAGCUGGAAAACUUGUUGAGAAUUUAGUUGAGAGCUAACAAAGUGUUGUGUCAAAGUGUGUCAACAAUGGUCACAUGACAAUCCAAACAUUUUCAAAUGAUUUCAAACGAUUUCACGUUCUCUGUUAUGGCAACAAUGUUACUGAAACCAAAACUUUUGUACCAAAUGUUAAAUUAUUAAAAUCUUUUAGUGUCAACCAGCGAUUUGUUUGAGUGAAAACUAUGGCGUCUAUUUCUACAGUCGACAAUGAUUUAAUGAUAGAAAUGGAAUAGAAUAGAAAUAGGCAAGUAUGAUAUGUGUGAAGGCUCUUUAAAUUGUUCUGUUGAUGUCAUAAAAUGUAUAUAAAGAGGUAGUUUAUAUCAAAAUAAAAGGAUCCCAAAGGAUAACCAGUGUAAUUUAUUUGAUAGAUCAAAAUACGUCAGUCACAUUAAUUACCUGGACACACUUAUUAAUACAUAUAUUUGUCGCGGUUUUUUCAAUGUCAAUAACGGGAUGACUAUACAAGUGUAAUUCUGCAAUCGAAACCCAAAAUAAGAUUAACCACACGUUUGUCCUUUUACUUAUUAUUUAAAACUAAUGCUAUCACUUGUACAUCACGUGUUCUUUGUAUUAUAAAAUAAUGUACUAGAUUCUGUCUAUAAAGUACAUUGUUGAUUAAGUCUUUUAUUACUCUAAAGUCAUAAACUAUUAUCAGUAUAUUUUAUGGUUCAGAGUGAAUUAGUUAC